AACCCCUGCAUAGCAAAGCUUAUAUCAGGUCUAGUAAUUGUUAAAUAUGACAACUUACCUAUUAAGCGCCUAUAGGCAGUCGGUUCAGGUAGUAGUGGAUCAUCUUUCUCAUUCUUUGGAUUGCCACUCAAUCUUGUGCUCCUCUCGAUUGGAACACUAAGAGGCUUUGCUGCUGUCAAACCCAUGUCAGAUAAGAUAUCCAAGAUAAUCAUCAAACCAGAGAAAGUUUAUGACAACAAUGAAGACAAAGAGGAUGGAUGUAUCAUCGAAUCUUAUAGCAUGUUGAUUUUUGCCUAUCAGAUCAACGAUAUACCAAAAGCAAAAGAGUUUUUCUAGUGGGUGAUUCACC